rnacentral:rRNA from 1 species
UACGUAGGGUGCAAGCGUUAAUCGGAAUUACUGGGCGUAAAGCGUGCGCAGGCGGUCAUGCAAGACAGAUGUGAAAUCCCCGAGCUCAACUUGGGAACUGCAUUUGUGACUGCAUGGCUUGAGUGCGGCAGAGGGGGAUGGAAUUCCGCGUGUAGCAGUGAAAUGCGUAGAUAUGCGGAGGAACACCGAUGGCGAAGGCAAUCCCCUGGGCCUGCACUGACGCUCAUGCACGAAAGCGUGGGGAGCAAACAGG